AGUUGUGAAAAGCGCGCGUUUGACUGCACCUAAGCGCAAGGCGCAGCCAAGCACGCCAUUUGCGCUUGGGUAGUGACCUAGGCGCAGGACUUGAAUGAAGCGUGUUUAAUUGCACACCUUUUGAGAGGAAAAGAAAAGCCUGCAAUGGGAUACGUUUACAAGGCAAUGGAUAGGGCUAAGGAAGCUAUUGCUGCCUCAUUCCAUAGCAAUGAAGAUAAGUAAUUAAAAUAUUUUUGAUAUAAUUGAAAAAAGAUGGUCAAUACAACUCCAUUGACCUUUGUAUGCAGUUGGUCAUUUUUAAACCCAAAGUUCUAUUCGGAUUCUAAAAUACAAAAUGACAUUGAAGUUGUGAUGGGUUUGUAUAAGUGUAUAUCUAGGAUGUGUGAAGGUGAUGAACUACCAGUUAAAAUCACAUAUCAACUACCAAUGUAUAAGAGGCUUGCAGGAGUUUUUUGGAAUACCUAUGGCUUAGACAAAGAACCAAAAAGUCACCAUCAUUUUUUUUUCUUAACAUAUCAUAGAUAAUGUUAUUUGAAACAACAAUUGACCAAAGGGCGCAUUUAAAGUUGCAAAAUUCUCAAAAGACUCACCUAACUUUUAGAUUUCCCAAAGAGCGCACUUGUUUCUUGUUUUACCCCUCUCGCCAAUUACAGUGUUGCAUUUAAAGAACGCACCACAGUGGUACUGAUUUUCAACACCAUAAUGGUGCUGAUUUUCAACACCACUGUGGUGGUUGAAAUUAACGCCACUAUGAUGCUGAUUUUUGAAAAUCAACACCACUUUGGUGCUGAUUCAAAGAACAGUGGUAUUGUUCUUUGAGAACUAAGAGAAGAUCUUCUACAAGUCAACUUAUUGAUGUAGAGGAGGAAGAAAUGGGUUUUGAGGAAACUCAUGAAGAUACAAAUAUGAAACAUUCGGCAAUGAUGAUAAUGAUAAGAUGAUGAAUAUUUUGAUGAUUUAGAUAUUUGAAGUUUGUUUUUUCUUUAAUUUGAAAUUUGAUUUUGAUUAUGAAGAUAAACUAUUUUAAUAUUAAAAUAUUAGUGAAUUUUAUAUUUAUAUUACUGUGUAAUAUUUUAUGAACUAUAGUUUUAUUAGUGAUAUUUUGGCAGAAAUUCCCUAUAUAUGUUUGAAUGGUAGAAAUUUAUACCCAGAGCGCCUUACUUCAGUGAGGCGUGUGCCACUUUGUGCCUAGUGCCUCAGGCCUCACAACACCUAUACGUUUGGGUGACUCAUGCCUUAAAUAACUAUGGUUUCAGAUGAUUUUCCUUCAUACAUCCAACUGCCGUGCUCUACAUUAUCUCCUUGUCAUUGCUUCUUGACUUCACUUUUACUUUGCUGGUCAACACACAUAUAAGUUCUUGUUUACUUUCUUAUCCAGUGCCCUUGAAUCAUUGGGUAUUUGUCUAGUUAGUUGCACUGGUGGAAACAGAGCCCAUGUUCUGAACCAACAACAGUGAUAAAAUCUUCAUAGAAUUUAAUUUAAAACCUUAACUGAUACUUUCUCUCUCUCACCUGCUUGAGGAGUGGAGCAAUCACUUAUGUCUAUUAUAAUGAAGUUAAGAAAGUAAAAUUUGUUGUUUUUUUCCAAUAUCUCUCUCUCUCUCUCUCUCAUGCUUGACGAGUGGAUCAAUGCUGCCAUGGGCGUAGCCAAGUUGGUACUCGGGUGAGGAGUUGCCACAAUAGGUCUUGGGUUAGAAUCUAGGGGUUUACCUGUACUAGGCCCCCUCACCUAGGAGGCCGCUCAAUUGGCCAAAUAAUCCCCGUGAUUUACUCCCUUCCAAUGUGCUUGAGACGGUCUCGGAGGGCCCCCGGGUUGAGGGUUAUGACCUUGAGUGGAGCAAUCACUUUUGUCUAUUAUAAAGAGGUUGAGAAAAUAAAAUUUGUUGUUUUUUCCUAUCUGUCUUUGGGCAUUUUUGCCCAAUAAUACAUGAGGCCUGCUGUAAAUUCUUUUGUUUGAUCUUUUCGAGAAAGUGAUGUUGUUUGUCUAGUCCUCAUCACUCUUGCAAUUGUGUGGUUCAACUACACUGUACUUUAAUUCAUGCUUCAGCAGUCAUAGUGAUAUUUUGUUGGUUCAUUUAUUUUUCUAGUGCACAAUUUUUUUUUUUUUUAAUUCUGUACACUCUGGGCUGUCCUAUGGUAUUUUAGAUAAUUUAUUCCCGUGUAAUAUAUAUAUAUAUAUAUAUAUAUAUAUAUUGGUACUCUUUCAACUGACAACAUGAUGUGUAAUAGAUUGAUUUUUACCAUAAAACAAACGUCAAAUUGUCAUAGUGUUCAGUGCUCAUAAUAAAUUAUCCUAAUGUUUAAGUCAAUUGUAAUGUUUAUGUGGCGUAAACUAUCCACCCAUCUGCUAGAAAGCGGCUGUUGCUCAUGCUCCUAGUAUAAUAUAUGAUGUAUCUUUUACACAAUGCAGAAAACUUCCAUUGCUUUUUGAGUGUUUAUUUGUUUUAUGGUUUCUCCCAAUUGGAAUAUCUCACAUGUUGACAUAAGUUAGCUAAAUAUGAUGACAAUAAGAAAGAAAACAAGCUAAAGUGAAAAUGUUUGGAAGAAUAUUUUUGCUUCUUAUGGAAGCUUAUUUGUUAGCAAAAAUGUAAGUAAAAAUCCUUCACAACAAUAGAAGGAUAGUUAAUUAAUCUUCAUUCAAGGAAUUUGAUUUUCUUUAUAAUCUACAGAAGAAUGUGGAAUAAGAGAAGCUGUUUUUUUUUUCUUCUUCAUGCACAAGCGGUCAAAGCAUGUAGUAAGAGACCAGUCUACAUAAGGUGUUUGAUGCCAUUGUCUAUGAACCAGGUAUAUGUUGAGAAAUUAAAGCUGGUGUACCAAUUAUUCCCCUAUUCUUUUUCACACGCUUAGAAAUAGAACUCAUACCAUUUCUACUUUAAGUGUUGGAUCUUCCCAUUUAUCUUGGUUCUACAGCAAAAUAAUUACUUUGACAAUGUUAGAUCUUCCCAUUUAUCGCAACCUUGACGCAACGGUAAAGUUGCCAUCAUUUGACCUAAAGGUUAUGGGUUGGAGUUUUGGAAACAUCCUCUUGCAAAGCAGGUAAUGCUGUAUAUAAUAGACCUUUCUUCGGGACCCUGCAUUGGCGGGAGCUUUGUGCUGCCCUUUUCAUCAGUUCAAAUCUGGAACAGUUUGCAGUGUCGACACUAUUUGCAUUUCCUUUUCUUUGAUUGUAUGACUCUUAUUGCAAAUAUAA